UACGAAGGGGGCUAGCGUUGUUCGGAAUUACUGGGCGUAAAGCGUGCGUAGGCGGUUUUGUUUAAGUCUGAUGUGAAAGCCCUGGGCUCAACCUGGGAAUGGCAUUGGAUACUGGCAACCUAGAAUGUGGUAGAGGGUGGCGGAAUUCCCGGUGUAGCAGUGAAAUGCGUAGAUAUCGGGAGGAACAUCCGUGGCGAAGGCGGCCACCUGGA
rnacentral:rRNA from 1 species